UGAGUUGUAUGAAACGCUGGGAUCUCUGAGAUCUUCAGAGUUGUCAGUGUCUGAACCUCUCCUCAUCCUGCAGGCAGCAUGUUUCACACAGGUGUGCAGUGGGGGCCUGAAGUGGCAGAGUUGGCUGUUUGUGCCGGGACGGCUCUCUGCGGCGGUCAGAACUGCUGAGUGGACCCUCUCUUUUUAAAAGGUCCGGCCCCGCCCUUCCUCUCCCCACCCGGCCGGUUCACGGCCUCCUAUUAUUUAGCAGAUUUGUUUUUGCAUCCUGGCUGAACUUUCUAGCGCGCGGGGAAAAAAUUGCAGCGGGGAUCAUAUAUGUGCCUCUGCAGGGACGACGGGGGCAUAACCUAACAAAUGUGUGGGGUCAAUUGGUUUCCCAAGGGGACGCUACUGAGAAGCUGGCUCACCAAGUCGCGGCCCAGGUUGCUGCUGCUGAUCGCAGGGUUGAAGAGGCCUCAGGUGACCCUCAUGAGGAGGAAAAGGAUGAAGCGCACAAAAGUAGCAAAGGCCACGUAAGCGAACCUGCAGCCGAAUGCCCCACUUCACUUGAGUCGAUUGCACAGAGGAGUCGCUUAUUAGGAAUGGAAGACGGGCCGAAAGAGGACAUGCGUGCAGCAUCUUUGCUCCAACUAAGAACUACACUCCAACAAAAGAGAACCAAGCUGGAAAAUGAAGCACAGAGAUUUAGACCUCCAGAUUAAUCCGGACCUGGACGACCAGAUCCAGCCCUUCCUUCACCUCCAUCUGUCAUGACUGUGGCUUGUACAUGAAUCCUAUCCAAAGACAAAGUGUUGAAAACAGCUCCCACUGUCUCCUUGUUCUCAGUUUGAGAAUCUUUCAGGUUUGAGGCUCAGACGAGUUCAAACCAGCUGCUGAUUAAACUCUCUGCAUCUGCUGCUCCAUCUUCUGACACAUCCAGAGCAUUUCCACAAAAACCAAAGCUUUAUAUGACACACACAAGAUGUAAACAAAAGCACAUUAAAGACAACAAGAACUUGUAAUGUCAUAGUAUGCAUAUAAACAAAAAAUAAAGCUGCCAUUUAUGGCGAUGUGUGCAAUAAAAACGGAUUUAGCUUUUCUUUAUUUGUGAUGCUGCUCUGAAAAAAAUUGCAACCUAAACUUUUUAUGGUAAAUGGCGUGUACUUGGUGGCGUAAUAUAGUGCUUUACCUUUAUCAGGCCCAAAGCUCUUCACAGUCUCAGCCUUAUUCACACACUGAUGGUGGUACAAACCUAUAACCACCAGAAAAAAAGAAGAAAAUAUAUAAAUGUUUUAAAUAUAUGUACAUUUUUCCAUUUCACUAAAAAAGAAAAAAAAAAGAA